ensembl:lncRNA
UGUGUGUCAUGAAGAGAGCUCUCAGGGAAGGAGCUGCCUCUCUGCUGCUGUCCACAGAGCAGCCAGUGCAAUGAAACAGUUCUCUCACACAUCGAUGCCCUUCAACAUCUUGGCAAAUCAGACCAAAUAGAUAUGUGACACCUUUACUAACAGACACAGGAACCAGCCAUCAUUUUUGGUGUGGGCGGCCACAGCUCCUCUGGGUCAUGGAUCUGCUGCAGAGCUCACAUAAGCCUCAUAAGCCUUCUCAGUUGCAGUGGCAGGGAAAGAAUUUUUUUUGAAAUGCUGAUUUUUCUGGCUUGGUAAAUUAAAGCCAUUCAUCUGUUACAGCUGUCUAUAUCAUAAAUCAAAAGCACUAUUUAUAUGUAUUAACCUGGGGACCUUAGCAGCCAGGGGAGAGAGCUUUGUAGAGAUGGCAUUUGUGCCUUUAGAAGCCCUCCCUGCCUCCCUCCCAUUGAAACAGACAAUGUUUAGCACAGGUUAACAAGAUUUCAGUUUUUCCUGAUGCAAAGAGCUUUGCUGUGGGUGGGGAGCUUUGCAGAAGUUACCUCAUGGUGAAUUCCUGAAGAGAGGAAAAUUGUUUCUUUCUGUUGCAAGAAUUAAAUUGCUGGGGACAGCUUUUGUUUCCUCUUAUUUUGUUGCUGCUGAGGAGUUUGCUGCAACUGCAACCACUGAAUAGAUCUUACUGCUCUGUCCUUCAGAGCAGGCAGCUUCUGAUUUGUCAGUGUUUACAAAUGAGUGAAUGAGAGUUUACAAAUAGUUUUGAAAAUGAUGCCUUGUAACAAACAAAAUAAAAACCAG